rnacentral:rRNA from 1 species
UACGAAGGGGGCUAGCGUUGCUCGGAAUGACUGGGCGUAAAGCGCACGUAGGCGGCUUUGUAAGUUAGAGGUGAAAGCCCGGGGCUCAACUCCGGAAUUGCCUUUAAGACUGCAUCGCUAGAAUUGUGGAGAGGUAAGUGGAAUUCCGAGUGUAGAGGUGAAAUUCGUAGAUAUUCGGAAGAACACCAGUGGCGAAGGCGACUUACUGGACACAUAUUGACGCUGAGGUGCGAAAGCGUGGGGAGCAAACAGG